UCUCCGUUGGUGAACCAACGGAGGGAUCAUUACCGAGUUAUUCUACUCCCAAACCCCUGUGAACUUAUACCUUUACUGUUGCUUCGGCGGGUUAACGCCCCGGAAGGCCCGCGAGGGCUGCCGGAACCAGGCGCCCGCCGGGGGACCCAAACUCUUGUAUCUUUUUUAUAGCAUGUCUGAGUGGAAUCAUAAACAAAUGAAUCAAAACUUUCAACAACGGAUCUCUUGGUUCUG
rnacentral:misc_RNA from 1 species